rnacentral:rRNA from 1 species
CUAAGUUUGAUGGCGACCGGCGCACGGGUGAGUAACACGUAUCCAACCUGCCGAUGACUCGGGGAUAGCCUUUCGAAAGAAAGAUUAAUACCCGAUGGCAUAGUUCUUCCGCAUGGUAGAACUAUUAAAGAAUUUCGGUCAUCGAUGGGGAUGCGUUCCAUUAGGUUGUUGGCGGGGUAACGGCCCACCAAGCCUUCGACGGAUAGGGGUUCUGAGAGGAAGGUCCCCCACAUUGGAACUGAGACACGGUCCAGACUCCUACGGGAGGCAGCAUG